rnacentral:rRNA from 1 species
GAUGAAUGCUGGCGGCGUGCCUAAUACAUGCAAGUCGAGCGCCCCUUUAAGAGGUGACAAUCAUCGAUUGUCGGUUCCUAUGGGGAGCGGCGGACGGCUGAGUAACGCGUGGGAACAUGCCCCAAAGUGAGGGAUACCGCACCGAAAGGUGUGCUAAUACCGCAUAUGCUCUUCGGAGUAAAGCUUUAUGCGCUUUGGGAGUGGCCUGCGUCCGAUUAGAUAGUUGGUGAGGUAAAGGCUCACCAAGUCGACGAUCGGUAACUGGUCUGAGAGGAUGAUCAGUCAGACUGGAACUGAGACACGGUCCAGACUCCUACGGGAGGCAGCAGUAAGGAAUCUUCCACAAUGGGCGAAAGCCUGAUGGAGCAACGCCGCGUGCAGGAUGAAGGCCUUCGGGUCGUAAACUGCUUUUAUUAGUGAAGAAUAUGACGGUAACUAAUGAAUAAGGAUCGGCUAACUACGUGCCAGCAGCCGCGGUCAUACGUAGGAUCCGAGCAUUAUCCGGAGUGACUGGGCGUAAAGAGUUGCGUAGGUGGCUUGUAAAGCAAAUGGUGAAAUCUGGGGGCUCAACCUCACAGACUAUUAUUUGAACCCACAAGCUCGAGAACAGCAGAGGUAACUGGAAUUUCUGAAGUAGGGGUAAUAUCCGUAGAUAUCAGAAGGAACACCAAUGGCGUAGGCAGGUUACUGGGCUGUUUCUGACACUGAGGCACGAAAGCGUGGGGAGCGAACCGGAUUAGAUACCCGGGUAGUCCACGCCGUAAACGAUGGAUACUAGCUGUUGGAGGUAUCGACCCCUUCAGUAGCGAAGCUAACGCGUUAAGUAUCCCGCCUGUGGAGUACGGUCGCAAGACUAAAACAUAAAGGAAUUGACGGGGACCCGCACAAGCGGUGGAUCAUGUUCUUUAAUUCGAUGCUAAACGAAGAACCUUACCAGGGCUUGACACCCAGGGAAUUUCUACGAAAGUAGAUUGUGCCUUUUGGAACCCUGUGACAGGUGAUGCAUGGCCGUCGUCAGCUCGUGUCGUGAGAUGUUUGGUUAAGUCCAUCAACGAGCGCAACCCUUGUGAUUAGUUGUAUUUUUCUAAUCAGACUGCCCCGGUAACGGGGAGGAAGGAGGGGAUGAUGUCAGGUCAGUAUUUCUCUUACGUCCUGGGCUAGAAACGUGAUACAAUGGCCGGUACAAUGCGCUGCGAAGCCGCGAGGUGAAGCAAAUCGCAUCAAAGCCGGUCCCAGUUCGGAUUGGAGGCUGAAACUCGCCUCCAUGAAGUCGGAAUCGCUAGUAAUCGCAAGUCAGCAAAUUGCGGUGAAUACGUUCCCGGGUC